GACGAACGCUGGCGGCGUGCUUAACACAUGCAAGUCGAACGGAAAGGCCCUGCUUUUGUGGGGUGCUCGAGUGGCGAACGGGUGAGUAACACGUGAGUAACCUGCCCUUGACUUUGGGAUAACUUCAGGAAACUGGGGCUAAUACCGGAUAGGAGCUCCUGCUGCAUGGUGGGGGUUGGAAAGUUUCGGCGGUUGGGGAUGGACUCGCGGCUUAUCAGCUUGUUGGUGGGGUAGUGGCUUACCAAGGCUUUGACGGGUAGCCGGCCUGAGGGGGUGACCGGCCACAUUGGGACUGAGAUACGGCCCAGACUCCUACGGGAGGCAGCAGUGGGGAAUACUGCACAAUGGGCGGAAGCCUGAUGCAGCAACGCCGCGUGCGGGAUGACGGCCUUCGGGUUGUAAACCGCUUUCGCCUGUGACGAAGCGUGAGUGACGGUAAUGGGUAAAGAAGCACCGGCUAACUACGUG
rnacentral:rRNA from 1 species